GCCAUUUUAGUUUAGUUUGGAGAAUGUUGGUUUGUCUAGCCGAAGGUAAUUGUUUGAUUAGGUGGCU
rnacentral:tRNA from 1 species